CUACGGGACGCUGCAGUCGAGAAUAGUCUACAAUGGACGAAAGUCUGAUAGUGCGACGCCGCGUGGAUGAAGAAGCAUUUCGGUGUGUAAAGUCCUUUUCUGUGUGAGCAAUGUUUUCCAGGUUAAUAGCUUGGAGAAAGCGAUAUUAACACAGGAAUAAGCUCCGGCUAACUCCGUGCCAGCAGCCGCGGUAACACGGGGGGAGCAAGCGUUGUCCGGAAUUACUAGGCGUAAAGGGUAAGUAGGCGGAAUUGUAAGUCAGAUGUUAAAGGCACCGGCUCAUCCGGUGUAUGGCCUUGAUACUGUAAUGCUCGAGUAAGGUGGGGGAAGACGGAAUUCCUGGUGUAGCGGUGGAAUGCGCAGAUAUCAGGAGGAACACCAGAGGCGCAGGCGGUCUUCUAUACCAUUACUGACGCUCAAUUACGAAGGUGUGGGUAUCAAACAGGAUUAGAUACCCGCGUAGUC
rnacentral:rRNA from 1 species